rnacentral:rRNA from 1 species
GAUGAACGCUGGCGGCGUGCCUAAUACAUGCAAGUCGAGCGAACAGACGAUAAGCUUGCUCCUCUGACGUUAGCGGCGGACGGGUGAGUAACACGUGGAUCACCGAGCUAUAAUACUGGGAUAACUUCGGGAUACCGCAGCUAAUCCCGGGUAAUAAAUUGAAGCUCAUGGUUCCAUGGUGAAAGACGGUUUUGCUGUUACGUAUAGAUAGAUCCAUGCCGCAUUAGCUAGUUGGUAAGGUAACGGCGUACCAAGGCAACGAUGUGUAGCCGACCUGAGAGGGUGACCGGCCACACUGGAACUGAGACACGGUCCAGACUCCUACGGGAGGCAGCAGUAGGGAAUCUUCCGCAAUGGGCGAAAGCCUGACCGAGCAACGCCGCGUGAGGGAUGAAGGUCUUCGGAUCGUAAAACGCUUUUAUCAGGGAAGAAAAGAUGUUUAAUAAACUAUGCGCGUCUUGACGGUACCUAAAGAGAAAGCCCCGGCUAACUACGUG